rnacentral:tRNA from 1 species
CGCGGGAUAGAGUAAGUUGGUGAACUCAUUAGGUUCAUGCCCUAAAAAGUGUAGGUUCGAGUCCUACUCCCGCAA